CCUACGGGAGGCAGCAGUGGGGAAUAUUGCACAAUGGGGGAAACCCUGAUGCAGCGACGCAGCGUGAGCGAGGAAGUAUUUCGGUAUGUAAAGCUCUAUCAGCAGGGACGAAAAAAGACGGUACCUGACGAAGAAGCCCCGGCUAACGACGUGCCAGCAGCCGCGGUAAUAAGUAGGGGGCAAGCGUUAUCAGGAUUUACUGGGUGUAAAGGGAGCGUAGACGGCACGGCAAGGCAGAAGUGAAAGGGGAGGGCUCAACCCUGUAAAUGCUUCUGGAACUGUGGUGCUCGAGUGCAGGAGAGGUAAGUGGAAGUCCUAGUGUAGCGGUGAAAUGCGUAGAUAUUAGGAGGAACACCAGUGGCGAAGGUGGCUUACUGGACUGUAACUGACGUUGAGGCUCGAAAGCGUGGGGAGCAAACAGGAUUAGAUACCCGAGUAGUC
rnacentral:rRNA from 1 species